UGCUACAACCAUGCCAUCCUGAACAUGCCCAAUCUUGUCUGAUCUCGGAAGCUAAGUAGGGUCGGGCCUGGUUAGUACUUGGGUGGGAGACCACUUAGGAAUACCAGGUGCUGUAGGCA
rnacentral:rRNA from 1 species